UACGAAGGGAGCUAGCGUUGUUCGGAAUCACUGGGCGUAAAGCGCACGUAGGCGGACUUGCAAGUCGGGGGUGAAAUCCCGGGGCUCAACCUCGGAACUGCCUUCGAUACUGUAAGUCUCGAGUCCGGAAGAGGUGGGUGGAAUUCCUAGUGUAGAGGUGAAAUUCGUAGAUAUUAGGAAGAACACCGGUGGCGAAGGCGGCCCACUGGUCCGGUACUGACGCUGAGGUGCGAAAGCGUGGGGAGCAAACAGG
rnacentral:rRNA from 1 species